UACGGAGGGGGCUAGCGUUGUUCGGAAUUACUGGGCGUAAAGCGCACGUAGGCGGCUUUGUAAGUUAGAGGUGAAAGCCCGGGGCUCAACUCCGGAAUUGCCUUUAAGACUGCAUCGCUAGAAUUGUGGAGAGGUAAGUGGAAUUCCGAGUGUAGAGGUGAAAUUCGUAGAUAUUCGGAAGAACACCAGUGGCGAAGGCGACUUACUGGACACAUAUUGACGCUGAGGUGCGAAAGCGUUGGGGAGCAAACAGG
rnacentral:rRNA from 1 species